UGGUUGACUUAUGGGAAUAUCAUAUGUGCCAAUACAAAAUUUAUAAAAACAUUAGAGACAUCUUUAAAGUACUAUUUUAAAAAUAUGUUAAAUUUCUUUAAGUAAACAAUGCAAGACAUUUUACCUUUAAUAAGAAAAAGAGCCUGAAAACUUCCAGUAAAAGAUGACAACGCAUCGAUACACAAACCUUUACAACAACAACAUUAUAAUCCAGUAUUAUGACAUCAAGCUUUAUUUGGCGACCCUAUUCCUUGAAAGCCCAUAGCUAGACCAAUAUCAACCUUCAAGACAGAUGCAAGACGAAUUAUUAUAGCAAUAUCUUAGCCAAACUCGCAUGACAGAGACAAUGAGAGUGAACAUGACAGCUUAAUUUGGAGGGUAGAAAACAAAACUACGAAUAAAAAUUUUGAACAUCAGUUAGUACAAAUUUAAAUGCAUAUAGGCAAAGAUAGAAUUUUUCUAUCCGAUUCGAACUUUCCAAAAUAUGAGCUCAUUCAUCUAUCAAACACAAUUUGUGAGAAAGAAGAAAAACAAAGAAUAAAAAGGGCGAAUGAUGCUACUUUAAAAUUCAGAAAUAACACACAAAAAUGAAAUGUGUCAGCAUUCAUACAACAAAAGAACAUAUUGAAUGAAAGUUGUACUCCUUCGAUCAAGCAAGACCCGAAAAGGAUAGCGCUUCAACUAUUAUAAUAACAAAUUAGAAAAUAUUAAAACCAUCAUUAAAUUCCGAGUCAAUUUCUCGGAAGGUCACUAUAAUAAAUUAUUUGUGAAAAUCACUUUACUUUGUUUUGUAACUAAAAAAUUAUUAUAUUUUGUUAAUUGUAACUCAAAAGUCAAUCUACACUUUUAGGGCAUAUUAAAUAUAAUAUUUCUUUUGCAACUCAACCAUUUUUAAACAUUUAAACAUGACCCAACCUGCUAAAGGAAAAUCAAAAAUUGAUGUGACUCAAUUAUUUCGUAACAAAUCCAAUUAAGCAAUAGUAACUCAUUAAGUAGCAAUAGAUAAAUGUGGAUCAGUUUUUAAAGUAUAUAAAGAAUUACCUAAAGAGAAGUAGGAAUUGGGUCCUCGCCUGUUUUGGAGUAGAAGAAGUUUAUCCCACUCUAAUAUGAAGCAGACCAAUUUACCUUGCAAUUUAACCCAGUUUGAAAUCAAUCAGUCAAAAAGUUCUUAUAAGAAGAUGGCAGAGCAACUAAUUAAUAGAAGAGAAGUAAGAAUGAGAUGCGGUUUAGAUGAGAUGGACCUUCAUAAAAUAAAUAGUUAUAAUAAAAUUCAAAUGGAGUAAGAGAAGAAUAAACCUGAGAGAAUGGUUGAAUAAUAGGAAGAGAGCAGGAAUGGAACAUUCCGUAUAUUUUGUUU
rnacentral:lncRNA from 1 species